UUUCCCAUAUUUAAAGGUCAGAAGGAAUCAUUACAAACAUCUACUUGGAACAACACAAGUGACAGAACUUCACCAAGUAGUAACAGCAUCAAGCUAAGUAACAUCUGAUUGACCUGUACUAUAUCUUUUAGAAUGUCAUCCAAAUAUAAAGGCAUCAAAUGAAUCAAAAUCAACCAUAGGGGCCUGGUGGAAAAAUUGUGAGUACAAGCCUGCAGAUUUUUGCAAAAAAACCUCCAAUGCAUCAUCACAAAUCACCUGUCAUCAGUGACCCAACUUAUUUCUUAAGGAUGCUGCAAGUAAGUGCAAUUCAAAAGUGCUUUUCCGGGCACGUCUACACGAGAUGCUACAUCACCAUAAGAACACGUU
rnacentral:lncRNA from 1 species